rnacentral:rRNA from 1 species
UACGGAGGGGGCUAGCGUUGUUCGGAAUUACUGGGCGUAAAGCGCACGUAGGCGGCUUUGUAAGUUAGAGGUGAAAGCCCGGGGCUCAACUCCGGAAUUGCCUUUAAGACUGCAUCGCUAGAAUUGUGGAGAGGUAAGUGGAAUUCCUGGUGUAGCGGUGAAAUGCGCAGAUAUCGGGAGGAACACCAAUGGCGAAGGCAGCUCGCUGGGACGGUACUGACGCUGAGACGCGAAAG